CCAGGUGUAAACAAACAAAGCCUUCGCAGAGGAUCCUGUGCGGCGGCCCUCGUGUUUCUUCUGAUAAAACUACUUUGCUUUCAACAUGCCUGUCCAGACUGAUGGGCAGAUUAUAAGGCCAAUUAUAAAACAUUAAGAAAUUAAAACUCCUGAUAUAUGAAAAUGAGUGUUUCCAAGAGGAACUUCGCAAAGCUCAGAGGGCCCUUCUUCGUGUUCGACGGGACAAGUCCUUCCUCCUUGACCGCCUCCUCCAAUACCAUCGAGGUCCUGACUCAUCCUCAGACUCUGAUCAGACAGAAGAGUCAGACACAGAAAAUGAUGCCAAGCUGGACACAAAGAGUUGCAGAAAAAGAUUAAGUUUGGAAGGAUCUGGCGGAGGUUCAAACAGCUCUCAGGGGCCCCUUGGAAAGCCACCCCUCAAAAAAAAGAAGUCCAGUAGCAAUUCCAGCGGCAGUAGCAAGUCCAGUAAACAAGGCUCGAAGCAGGUGAGGCAUUAGGUGUU
rnacentral:lncRNA from 1 species